GGAUGUGAUGGUGACAGAGGACAUUUGUCACCUCAUUAAUUUCCAAGGUUCAUUCACCUGCUCUGGAUGGUCAGGGAGGCAUCUUUUCCUUCAACACUUUCUGUGUGUCUCUGCUAAAAGUAUAGACUCCUUGGAAGAGAGUAGCCUUCCCAUAUAAAGGAAGAUGACUCUUCAGUCAAGGUUAUAGGGGUAUCAGUGUUGUCUCACUAGGACCUCAGACAAGCUCCCAAAAGAGAUAGACAAGCAAAUGCAAGGAGAGAGGAGGGGAGGGCAUGGAAAAGGAAAGGAAA
rfam:Mesocricetus auratus contig105332, whole genome shotgun sequence.